GUUAGGAAUAUUGGACAAUGGGCGCAAGCCUGAUCCAGCCAUGCCGCGUGAACGAUGAAGGCCUUCGGGUUGUAAAGUUCUUUAGCCGAUGAUUAUAAUGACUGUAGUCGGAAAAUAAGCCCCGGCUAACUUCGUGCCAGCAGCCGCGGUAAUACGAAGGGGGCGAGCGUUAUUCGGAAUCACUGGGCGUAAAGCGUGCGUAGGCGGUCUCGUAAGUUAGGAGUGAAAGCCCAGGGCUCAACCUUGGAAUUGCUCUUAAAACUGCAAGGCUAGAAUCUCGGAGAGGAUAGCGGAAUUUCCAGUGUAGCAGUGAAAUGCGUAGAUAUUGGAAGGAACACCAGUGGCGUAAGCGGCUAUCUGGACGAGUAUUGACGCUGAGGCACGAAAGCGUGGGGAUCAAACAGGAUUAGAUACCUGAGUAGUCC
rnacentral:rRNA from 1 species